UUUACCGAGUUUUCAUUUUAUCAUGUACAUUUCAAGUCUUGCUUGCCAAAUUUCCACAAGUUCUUGUUAAAUUGUUUAACUGCCUCAUGUUUGUUCUUCAUUAUUCCAUAUCAAAGUGAUGUCGUCCAAUGCGUCUGUUCCUGUCUGAUGUAGAAAUUGCUUUCCAUGAGGCAUGCCCUGAAGAUGAUACAAUAUCAUUCCUCUUGGUGCCCGUGCUAAUAUAACUCUUAUUUUCAAAAAACAAUUUCUUUGUAUUUGGGAGCAAGAUAUUAGGUAGAAAUCUUUUGGUGAACUGCAGAUUUAAGCGUCUCUGGCGAGUUCUUUGUCGGUCAGCUCCACCUCCCUUAGCGCUUGACCUAGCAGAUGUGUGUGCGUGUGCAGAUCACCCAUGCCUCCACUACGCCACCUACUGUUGGAUGGCACUGGCCGUCCAAGCGUGUGGAAUUGGAAGGACUGUCCGUCAUGGCGGCACAGCUCAUCUCGGAGGAGAAAAGACCAAGGUCUUGUAGGUUUCAAGUACUACAUAUAGGAGGAGGCAGGAGUGGCUGCAAUCUUGCUACAAAAUGACACUUACGGAGCUUCUUUACCUAACAUGGCCAAGAAGUCAGCGUAGAGUAUAGCCGGUUGGAUACAUAUCUGCAGAGUGCAUGUAGUGUGUGUGUCAGAUAUACAGUGGGAAAACACGACAAUGCAAGUGUCAGAUCCUAUUCUUGAUGCAAUUUUGCGACUCUAUUUUGGACUCUAAGCAAUUGGUUGAUGUUAAGCUGAAACUCGGAUCAGUCUUGUGGCUCUUCUGUACCUAUAUGUCUAGAUUAUUUACUAAUGGUAUAUGAACUAUA